AUUUGGGAUUCUUCAUUCUAAUGGUCCUUUAUCUUCAGAAAGGUACAUUUACUGAUUUUUUAUUUUUUUUUAUUUUUUUAUUGUAUCUCAAUAAGUUGAUGUGUAAAUUAGUUUGCAUCCUGACCUAAUGAACGUUAUAUACUGAAAUACUUCAAUUGCUCCGUUUUUGGCUGUUUGAAUGUGUAUCAAUUAAAUUGUGUGUUACUGUGAGCUUUAUUGCUUUGGAGCUCUGUGAUAUACCCCGUACUGCACAUUACCGCAGAAGGAAAAAUAAGAUAUACCUGAACACACAAACAGAGAAAGAAAAAUCUCAUAGAGAAGUAAUAUAAAUUAACAAUCGGCCCCUUAUUUAAAUGUUGCACUCACAAAAUUGAAGAGAUAUUCAGGCUCAUUAAUAAUGUAUGGACUCUUACAUGUUCAUCCUCGUUCGAAUAUCCAGUGAUGCAUGAAAAACAUAAAUAAACAUAGUACAGUGUUGCUAUAUGUUAAAAUCACACACUUUAAUGAAUGCACUUACAGUGUACAAGUGGUUAAAAAGCCCAUCAAUAUAAUGUGCACUUGUGGCCAAUUGGCACAUACUUUCAUUAUAAUUUGGUCAUACAGUUUUGCGCUAUGUUGUGCCAUUUCUUCAAUGGCAGGAUAACCCCUAUUUUUAUACAUUUAACCUUUUCUGUUUGUCACUAGGAAUUCUAUCCAUGGAAAACUGUGAGAAUACGAAGACUAUUGCAGGAGAAUUGGGAGAAGAUAUUAAUGUGCUAAUGGAACUGUCUGGAUUCAAAGAAAUCUCAUGGACUAUGGGUGGAAAACACAUUGCUACAACCAACACGGACAGAUCUAUUGAUAUUAAAUCUCAAAUGCUUAAAAAUAGGCUGAAG